UGUUAGAGGGAGUGGGGGUAUAGUGACAGUAACAGAGGGAUUGAGGGCCUGCUCAGUGAGUUUACAUGUUAGAGGGAGUGGGGUAUAGUGACACAGUAACAGAGGGAUUGAGGGCCCUGCUCAGUGAGUUUACAUGUUAGAGGGAGUGGGGUAUAGUGACACAGUAACAGAGGGAUUGAGGGCCUGCUCAGUGAGUUUACAUGUUAGAGGGAGUGGGGUAUAGUGACACAGUAACAGAGGGAUUGAGGGCCUGCUCAGUGAGCUUACAUGUUAGAGGGAGUGGGGUAUAGUGACACAGUAACAGAGGGAUUGAGGGCCCUGCUCAAUGAGUUUACAUGUUAGAGGGAGUGGGGUAUAGUGACACAGUAACAGAGGGAUUGAGGGCCCUGCUCAGUGAGUUUACAUGUUAGAGGGAGUGGGGUAUAGUGACAGUAACAGAGGGAUUGAGGGCCUGCUCAGUGAGUUUACAUGU